rnacentral:snoRNA from 1 species
GUGACGACAGGAGGGUGGAGAUGGAUGAUCGAGGAUUUGAACGCUGA